AGGUUGUCGGGGAGAGGUCGCGGCCCGCCUGGCUGAAGGUCGGGGAGAGGUUGCAGUCCUGGUUGCUGAAGGUCGGGGAGAGGUCGCGGGCCUGGCUGGAGUCCACCUUCUGGAGCUGUAGCAGGGGGCCUUCGCGCUCCGGGGACUGGGUCAUGAUGGGGGUGGGGGCUGGAGAAGGGGAGGUUGUGGCGGUGGGAUGGGUUGGGGUGUUGUGGGGUAUUGGGAUGGGGGUUGGAUGUGUUGAGUUUGACUGAAAGGAUGU